rnacentral:rRNA from 1 species
GACGAACGCUGGCGGCGUGCUUAACACAUGCAAGUCGAACGGAAAGGCCCUGCUUUUGUGGGGUGCUCGAGUGGCGAACGGGUGAGUAACACGUGAGUAACCUGCCCUUGACUUUGGGAUAACUUCAGGAAACUGGGGCUAAUACCGGAUAGGAGCUCCUGCUGCAUGGUGGGGGUUGGAAAGUUUCGGCGGUUGGGGAUGGACUCGCGGCUUAUCAGCUUGUUGGUAGGGUAGUGGCUUACCAAGGCUUUGACGGGUAGCCGGCCUGAGAGGGUGACCGGCCACAUUGGGACUGAGAUACGGCCCAGACUCCUACGGGAGGCAGCAGUGGGGAAUAUUGCACAGUGGGCGGAAGCCUGAUGCAGCAACGCCGCGUGCGGGAUGACGGCCUUCGGGUUGUAAACCGCUUUCGCCUGUGACGAAGCGUGAGUGACGGUAAUGGGUAAAGAAGCACCGGCUAGCUACGUG